AUUGAACGCUGGCGGCAGGCCUAACACAUGCAAGUCGAGCGGCAGCGGAAAGUAGCAUGCUACUUUGCCGGCGAGCGGCGGACGGGUGAGUAAUGUCUGGGAAACUGCCUGAUGGAGGGGGAUAACUACUGGAAACGGUAGCUAAUACCGCAUAACGUCGCAAGACCAAAGAGGGGGACCUUCGGGCCUCUUGCCAUCAGAUGUGCCCAGAUGGGAUUAGCUAGUAGGUGGGGUAACGGCUCACCUAGGCGACGAUCCCUAGCUGGUCUGAGAGGAUGACCAGCCACACUGGAACUGAGACACGGUCCAGACUCCUACGGGAGGCAGCAGUGGGGAAUAUUGCACAAUGGGCGCAAGCCUGAUGCAGCCAUGCCGCGUGUAUGAAGAAGGCCUUCGGGUUGUAAAGUACUUUCAGCGGGGAGGAAGGUGUUGAGGUUAAUAACCUCAGCAAUUGACGUUACCCGCAGAAGAAGCACCGGCUAACUCCGUGCCAGCCGCCGCGGUAAAAC
rnacentral:rRNA from 1 species